AUUGCCCCUAGAGGCAUUGCAGGUGUAGCUGCUGUGUUGCAUGUGUGACAGUAGGUGGCAGAGAGGAGAGAGGCUGUCUGUGCUCAGUUGUCUGACCUAUGAACUUCUGAAUGAUUAGUAACCCAACAUU